UACAGAGGGGGCAAGCGUUGUUCGGAAUUACUGGGCGUAAAGGGCGCGUAGGCGGCCCGCUAAGUCGAACGUGAAAUCCCCGGGCUCAACCCGGGAACUGCGUCCGAUACUGGCAGGCUUGAAUCCGGGAGAGGGAUGCGGAAUUCCAGGUGUAGCGGUGAAAUGCGUAGAUAUCUGGAGGAACACCGGUGGCGAAGGCGGCAUCCUGGACCGACACUGACGCUGAGGAGCGAAAGCCAGGGGAGCAAACGGG
rnacentral:rRNA from 1 species